CCGAGUUUACAACUCCCAAACCCAAUGUGAACGUUACCAAACUGUUGCCUCGGCGGGAUCUCUGCCCCGGGUGCGUCGCAGCCCCGGACCAAGGCGCCCGCCGGAGGACCAACCAAAACUCUUAUCGUAUACCCCCUCGCGGGUUUUUUUUAUAAUCUGAGCCUUCUCGGCGCCUCUCGUAGGCGUUUCGAAAAUGAAUCA
rnacentral:misc_RNA from 1 species